GUGGGGAAUCUUGCGCAAUGGGCGAAAGCCUGACGCAGCCAUGCCGCGUGAAUGAUGAAGGUCUUAGGAUUGUAAAAUUCUUUCACCGGGGACGAUAAUGACGGUACCCGGAGAAGAAGCCCCGGCUAACUUCGUGCCAGCAGCCGCGGUAAUACGAAGGGGGCUAGCGUUGCCCGGAAUUACUGGGCGUAAAGGGCGCGUAGGCGGAUCGUUAAGUCAGGGGUGAAAUUCCAGAGCUCAACUCUGGAACUGCCCUUGAUACUGGCGAUCUUGAGUGUGAGAGAGGUAUGUGGAACUCCGAGUGUAGAGGUGAAAUUCGUAGAUAUUCGGAAGAACACCAGUGGCGAAGGCGACAUACUGGCUCAUUACUGACGCUGAGGCGCGAAAGCGUGGGGAGCAAACAGGAUUAGAUACCCUAGUAGUCC
rnacentral:rRNA from 1 species